rnacentral:lncRNA from 1 species
AUGCCCGGGAAGCUGAAGGUGAAAAUCGUGGCCGGGCGCCAUUUGCCGGUGAUGGACCGUGCUAGUGACCUGACCGAUGCCUUCGUGGAGGUUAAGUUUGGUAAUACUACCUUUAAAACAGAUGUGUACCUCAAGUCACUCAACCCUCAGUGGAACUCAGAAUGGUUUAAAUUUGAGGUGGAUGAUGAAGAUCUACAAGAUGAACCUCUGCAGAUCACGGUUCUGGACCAUGAUACCUACAGCGCAAAUGAUGCCAUUGGUAAAGUGUACAUUGAUAUUGAUCCUCUACUGUAUAGUGAAGCUGCUACAGUCAUCUCGGGAUGGUUUCCAAUUUAUGACACCAUACAUGGUAUCCGUGGAGAAAUCAAUGUGAUUGUUAAAGUAGACCUCUUCAAUGAUUUGAAUAGGUUUAGACAGUCAUCGUGUGGAGUCAAAUUCUUUUGUACAACAUCUAUUCCAAAGUGCUACAGAGCUGUAAUAAUUCAUGGAUUUGUAGAAGAACUAGUGGUCAAUGAAGACCCAGAGUAUCAAUGGAUUGAUCGAAUUCGUACACCAAGGGCAUCAAAUGAGGCCAGACAGAGACUCAUUUCUUUAAUGUCAGGUGAACUGCAGAGGAAGAUUGGCUUGAAAGUACUUGAAAUGAGAGGAAAUGCAGUUGUCGGGUACUUACAGUGCUUUGAUCUGGAGGGAGAGUCGGGGUUAGUGGUACGAGCCAUAGGAACAGCGUGUACUCUGGAUAAAUUAAGUAGCCCAGCAGCAUUCCUUCCUGCAUGUAAUUCCCCAUCCAAAGAAAUGAAGGAGAUUCCCUUCAAUGAAGAUCCCAAUCCCAAUACUCACUCAUCAGGACCCUCAACCCCUCUGAAAAACCAAACUUAUUCCUUUUCACCUUCCAAGUCCUACAGUCGACAGUCCUCUUCUUCUGACACAGAUUUGAGUUUGACACCCAAAACUGGAAUGGGAAGCGGUAGUGCUGGGAAAGAAGGAGGGCCAUUUAAAGCUCUUUUAAGACAGCAGACUCAGUCCGCAUUGGAGCAGAGGGAGUUUCCGUUUUUUACUUUGACGGCAUUUCCUCCUGGAUUUCUUGUGCACGUUGGCGGUGUUGUUAGUGCACGCUCUGUGAAGCUUUUGGAUCGCAUCCACAACCCCGAUGAACCAGAAACGCGGGAUGCGUGGUGGGCAGAAAUUAGACAAGAAAUAAAAUCCCAUGCUAAAGCACUGGGCUGCCAUGCUGUCGUGGGCUACAGUGAAUCGACUAGCAUCUGUGAAGAAGUCUGCAUUUUGUCAGCAUCCGGCACAGCAGCUGUCCUCAAUCCUCGGUUUCUGCAGGACGGCACCGUGGAGGGCUGUUUGGAACAGAGGCUUGAGGAAAAUUUGCCUGCAGGCUGUGGAUUUUGCCAUAUUCCAUAUGAUGAACUGAAUAUGCCAUUUCCAGCUCAUCUCACGUACUGCUAUAACUGCAGGAAACAAAAAGUUCCUGAUGUCCUCUUUACAACUAUAGACCUCCCCGCCGAUGCAGCAGUUGUUGGAAAAGGUUGUCUUAUUCAAGCAAGGUUAUGUCGCUUAAAAAAGAAAGCACAAGCAGAAGCCAAUGCUACGGCCAUCAGUAACCUCCUGCCUUUUAUGGAAUACGAAGUGCAUACUCAGCUCAUGAAUAAGCUGAAACUCAAGGGGAUGAACGCUCUGUUUGGACUAAGAAUUCAGAUCACAGUGGGUGAAAAUAUGUUGAUGGGCCUCGCAUCUGCCACAGGAGUGUACUUAGCAGCUUUACCAACACCUGGUGGGAUUCAGAUUGCUGGGAAGACCCCGAACGAUGGCUCAUAUGAGCAGCAUAUCUCCCACAUGCAGAAGAAGAUAAAUGACACGAUUGCUAAGAACAAAGAGUUAUAUGAAAUCAGUCCUCCGGAGAUAUCUGAAGAGGUUAUUGGAUCACCUAUCCCAGAACCCAGACAACGCUCAAGACUUCUGAGAUCUCAGUCAGAAAGCUCAGACGAAGUUACAGAAUUGGAUCUUUCCCAUGGGAAAAAGGAUGCUUUUGUUUUGGAGAUUGAUGACACAGAUGCCCUGGAAGAUGUGCAUUCUCUGCUUACUGAUGUUCCUCCUCCCCCAGGCUUUUAUAGUUGUAAUACAGAAAUUAUGCCUGGUAUAAAUAACUGGACAUCAGAAAUACAGAUGUUCACAUCAGUGAGAGUAAUCAGAUUAAGCAGUCUUAACCUGACUAAUCAAGCUCUCAAUAAGCAUUUUAAUGAUCUGUGUGAAAAUUUGCUCAAGAGCCUGUAUUUUAAACUCCGAUCUAUGAUUCCUUGCUGCCUUUGCCAUGUAAAUUUCACCGUGUCUCUGCCUGAAGAUGAAUUAAUUCAGGUUACAGUCACAGCAGUUGCAAUAACUUUUGACAAAAAUCAGGCUUUGCAGACCACAAAAACGCACGUUGAGAAGUCACUGCAAAGAGCUUCUACAGAUAAUGAAGAGCUCCUGCAGUUUCCACUGGAACUGUGUUCAGAGUCGCUUCCUUCCCAUCCUUUCCCUCCAGCUAAAGAACACCUGGAGAGUGCAAGUUCUAACUCAGGUAUACCCGCUGCACAGAGAGCUGUGACAGUUGAAAAAGCAAGUCCAGUGGGUGAAGGAAAUUUCCGGAAUCGCUCCGCUCCGCCUUGUGCAAAUUCUACAGUUGGGGUUGUUAGGAUGACACCUCUGUCUUUCAUUCCGGGAGCAAAAAUAACUAAAUAUCUUGGGAUAAUUAACAUGUUUUUUAUUCGGGAAACCACUUCUCUUCGUGAGGAAGGGGGCGUCAGUGGUUUUCUCCACGCUUUCAUCGCUGAGGUCUUUGCGAUGGUGCGCGCUCACGUGGCUGCGUUAGGAGGGAACGCUGUAGUCUCCUACAUCAUGAAGCAGUGUGUCUUCAUGGAGAACCCAAACAAAAACCAGAGAUUUAUGUGGCCUAUUACGUCUUCCGCCAUCAUCUGGUGUAAUUAGUGACCAUGAAACUUGUCUCCUGAGGCACCAAAUCUAUCUCACAGUACACAGUACGGAUGGUGUUCCAUGAAAUGAGCCAACAGUGGGAACACAAAGGCUUCCUCGGCCUUCCGGGGUGGGCGUGAGGCGAGUCCUUGCCACCUGGACUGUCGUCUUCUCUCACUGGUCCUGGAACUCAAGGCCACCGCAAGCAUCUGACUCUACUUGAACCUGAACUUCACUUAGCAGCAGCACCCGCCUGGCCCAAAUCUGUGUCAUCAUCUAGAUGUUGACUUCUGACCUCUUGCUCUUUCUUUGCCUACUUCUCAUUCACAGUGAGCCUUUCCUUAGUGAGCUAUUCACCCCUUAUCUAUUCCUUGUGAAAAGUAGUGUCAGCUGAGUUGUCAAAGUCAUUUUUCUCCUUUUCUACCCAGUUUAUGCAGAUGCAGGCUGAUGACAGAAACAUCCACACAGCAGAAAAUCAUUGUAAAGUAGGAGUUUGAAGUCAUACACAAGAGUUAAACAUUGUCAAGAUGUUCUUUUGUUCUCUUGGAGAAGACAUUCUAUGCUUGUUUCAAGAGUAAAUAACACAUAUAUAUCUUUGUUUUGCACAAAGGGAAUACUAGUUUGGAUUUUUUUCUAUUUAGAAUGUGCUUCAACGUUUUUUCAUAUUACUACAUAUACCCUUAUGCUACUUUUAGUACAGUGAGGCACAUUUAUUAAGUUAUGAACAAGAAGUCCUGAGGUAGGAAAGCUUCAGAUCAGAUUAAUUCAAAGGCACAGCAACAUCAUCUGUACGUACCCCACUUAUUUGACCAUCAUGAUCGACAUGUUGGUUUUCUCCUCCAUGUUACAAAAUGGCUGCCACAGUAUCAGAGAUCAUAUUCAGGCAGGCAAAAGCACAGUAUCAGAGAACAGACUGUCUUCUCUGGUCUCUUUCUCAGAAGGGCUCUGGUAAGCUGUUUCUCACAUGUUAGCCAGAGUUUUGGAUAGACAGUUAACUGUGUUAGUUAUAUCCUAUUUAUAUUUACUGUUCAACAUUAUUUGGUUUUCUUAUGCAUUUAUUCCUUCCUCUAAAUUUGAGAAUAUCUUUGUCAUUUUCUCUCAUAACCCAUUGGAGUCAUAAAAAUUAUCAUUUUAUUUGUGUGUAUCUGUGUAUAGAGAGAAAUAUCUUUAUAACUUUGUGUUUUUUGGCUGUGGACAUGGUUAUUUCUCCAUUAAUAAAAAUUUUAAAUCUUCAAUGGAGUUUAAAAGUGUUUUUUUUCUUUUUAUAAAAUUCUAUAUAUUCAUUUUUAGAUCUUAGACAUUUUAAUUUUAUUGCUGUUGUUGAGGACAUUGUAUUUCCCUGUAUAUUUUCUAGCUGGUUAUUAACGCUGUGCCAGAACAUUGUUGAUUUUUAUGUGUUGGGUUUGUGUUGAAUAAACUUGCUGAUCU